GACGAACGCUGGCGGCAGGCCUAACACAUGCAAGUCGAACGAAGUCUUCGGACUUAGUGGCGGACGGGUGAGUAACACGUGGGAACGUGCCUUUAGGUUCGGAAUAACUCAGGGAAACUUGUGCUAAUACCGAAUGUGCCCUUCGGGGGAAAGAUUUAUCGCCUUUAGAGCGGCCCGCGUCUGAUUAGCUAGUUGGUGAGGUAAAGGCUCACCAAGGCUACGAUCAGUAGCUGGUCUGAGAGGAUGACCAGCCACAUUGGGACUGAGACACGGCCCAAACUCCUACGGGAGGCAGCAGUGGGGAAUCUUGCGCAAUGGGCGAAAGCCUGACGCAGCCAUGCCGCGUGGAUGAUGAAGGUCUUAGGAUUGUAAAAUCCUUUCACCGGUGAAGAUAAUGACUGUAGCCGGAGAAGAAGCCCCGGCUAACUUCGUGCCAGCCGCCGCAGUAACAC
rnacentral:rRNA from 1 species